CCGCGCGUGCGGCUGCCCGGGUGGCGGUGUGAGUCACUGCGGGGCUCGUCUUUAUAGCCGCCGGCAGGCUCGCGCGAGACGCCGGCCCGCCAGCCAGCCGCUCCGCGCUCCAACCCGCGCGCCCCCAACGGCCCCCCAACCGCCGCCCAGGCCCGAGGGCGCCAUGAGUGGCCCGCGCUGCGCCCCGCUGCUGCUCCUGCUGCUGCUGCUGCCGCUGCUGCUCAAGCCCCCCGCGGGGGACGCCGCCGUCAUCACCGGGGCCUGCGACAAGGACCCCCAGUGUGGUGGAGGCAUGUGCUGUGCUGUUAGUAUCUGGGUUAAGAGCAUACGGAUUUGCACACCGAUGGGCAAAGUGGGAGACAGCUGCCAUCCGCUGACUCGUAAAGCCAUUCCUGCUGCCUCCACCUCCUCUGACAUAGUCUCGAUGGCAACAAAUGAGCCAGCUAUCCGUGGGCCUUUCGACACACACAGUGACAGAACCAUUCUAGCAUGCGUCUGCAUGGAGCCGAUGGCCAAGGUGCCCCCGAGUAGACGCUGUCAUUAAAGCCUUGAAAAUAAUGCUCUUGCAAAAAGACAACGGAACUGGAAUGGCUCAGCCUGUUCACCUCAUACCUCCCCUGCCGUCCUACUGCUUCCCUUUCUUCCCUGUGUAUUUAUGAUCUCAACCAUCUCCCUGGCCCUUCCAGAACCAUUUUGGAAAUGGAAGGCAGGAAAGAAGAAAGAGGAAGAGAAGAAAAAGGAAAAAGGAGGUUCCAUUUUUUGGACGGAGAAUGCAUCACACGUGUCCAUGCCUGCCCGGCUUAGCCUGUUCACGGACUUCUUUUAACCGAUAUACUUGUUUAGCCCGAAAGUAACC